rnacentral:rRNA from 1 species
GACGAACGCUGGCGGCGUGCUUAACACAUGCAAGUCGAGCGGUAAGGCCCUUUCGGGGUACACGAGCGGCGAACGGGUGAGUAACACGUGGGUGACCUGCCUCUAGCUCUGGGAUAAGCCCGGGAAACUGGGUCUAAUACUGGAUAUGACUCCAUGACGCAUGUUGUGGGGUGGAAAGCCUUGUGCGGCUAGAGAUGGGCCCGCGGCCUAUCAGCUUGUUGGUGGGGNGAUGGCCUACCAAGGCGACGACGGGUAGCCGGCCUGAGAGGACGAUCAGCCACACUGGGACUGAGACACGGCCCAGACUCCGUACGGGAGGCAGCAGGUGGGGAAUCUUGCGCAAUGCG